rnacentral:tRNA from 36 species
GCCCUUGUAGCUCAGUUGGUAGAGCACCUGAUUUGUAAUCAGGGGGUCGCGGGUUCGAAUCCUGCCGGGGGCACCA